rnacentral:pre_miRNA from 1 species
CUACUACUCCCUCCGUCCGAAAAUACUUGUCAUUGAAAUGGAUGUAUCUAGAUGUAUUUUAGUUCUAGACACAUCCAUUUUGAUGACAAGUAAUUCCGGACGGAGGNGAUGACAA